AUUGAACGCUGGCGGCAGGCCUAACACAUGCAAGUCGAACGGUAGCACAGAGAGCUUGCUCUCGGGUGACGAGUGGCGGACGGGUGAGUAACGUCUGGGAAACUGCCCGAUGGAGGGGGAUAACUACUGGAAACGGUAGCUAAUACCGCAUAACGUCGCAAGACCAAAGUGGGGGACCUUCGGGCCUCACACCAUCGGAUGUGCCCAGAUGGGAUUAGCUAGUAGGUGGGGUAAUGGCUCACCUAGGCGACGAUCCCUAGCUGGUCUGAGAGGAUGACCAGCCACACUGGAACUGAGAAACGGUCCAGACUCCUACGGGAGGCAGCAGUGGGGAAUAUUGCACAAUGGGCGCAAGCCUGAUGCAGCCAUACCGCGUGUAUGAAGAAGGCCUUCGGGUUGUAAAGUACUUUCAGCGGGGAGGAAGGCGGUGAAGUUAAUAGCUUCACCGAUUGACGUUACCCGCAGAAGAAGCACCGGCUAACUCCGUGCCAGCCGCCGCGGUAA
rnacentral:rRNA from 1 species